rnacentral:rRNA from 1 species
CCUACGGGAGGCAGCAGUGAGGAAUAUUGGUCAAUGGGCGCGAGCCUGAACUAGCCAAGUCGCGUGAGGGAUGACGGCCCUACGGGUUGUAAACCUCUUUUGUCGGGGAGCAAAUUCCGUUACGUGUAACGGAGUCGAGAGUACCCGAAGAAAAAGCAUCGGCUAACUCCGUGCCAGCAGCCGCGGUAAU